AGAACGAACGCUGGCGGCAGGCCUAACACAUGCAAGUCGAACGCCGUAGCAAUACGGAGUGGCAGACGGGUGAGUAACGCGUGGGAACAUACCCUUCGGUUCGGAAUAACUCAGGGAAACUUGAGCUAAUACCGGAUACGUCCGAGGUUUUAAUCGACCUUGGAGAAAGAUUUAUCGCCGGAGGAUUGGCCCGCGUCUGAUUAGCUUGUUGGUGAGGUAAUGGCUCACCAAGGCGACGAUCAGUAGCUGGUCUGAGAGGAUGAUCAGCCACAUUGGGACUGAGACACGGCCCAAACUCCUACGGGAGGCAGCAGUGGGAAUCUUGCACAAUGGGCGAAAGCCUGAUGCAGCAACGCCGCGUGAGGGACGAAGGCUUUCUGAGUUGUAAACCUCUUUCAGCAGGGACGAUUGUGACGGUACCUGCAGAGAGCCCGGCAACUACGUGCCAGCAGCCGC
rnacentral:rRNA from 1 species